rnacentral:piRNA from 1 species
UGUACUACCCCUUCAUGACUCAAA